GACGAACGCUGGCGGCGUGCUUAACACAUGCAAGUCGAACGGUGAAGCGCCUUCCUUUUUGGUGGGUGUGGAUGAGUGGCGAACGGGUGAGUAACACGUGAGUAACCUGCCCCCUUCUUCUGGAUAACCGCAUGAAAGUGUGGCUAAUACGGGAUAUUCUGGGUCUGUCGCAUGAUGGGUCUGGGAAAGAUAUUGUUUCGGUGGGGGAUGGGCUCGCGGCCUAUCAGCUUGUUGGUGGGGUGAUGGCCUACCAAGGCGGUGACGGGUAGCCGGACUGAGAGGGUGGACGGUCACACUGGGACUGAGACACGGCCCAGACUCCUACGGGAGGCAGCAGUGGGGAAUAUUGCACAAUGGGCGCAAGCCUGAUGCAGCGACGCCGCGUGAGGGACGGAGGCCUUCGGGUUGUGAACCUCUUUCGCCAGUGAAGCAGGCCUGCCUCGUUUGUGGGUGGGUUGACGGUAGCUGGAUAAGAAGCGCCGGCUAACUACGUG
rnacentral:rRNA from 1 species